GGGGGUGUCAUGGCUUCGACGGGAUAGAUCUUUGAAUUAGGACGCGAGUCGAGGAGGUGCCAGGCCUCGUAAAAAGGCACAAAACAAUAAAUGCUAAACCAGUAUUUACUGUAGUUUCAGGUUCGCCUGUUACUGCUUCAGCCGCUGCUGCUUAAUUAAGCUAGCAACGCCAUCAUGACAGGAUGUUGACGACUCUUGUGAUGAAACUAGUCAUCUAGCGGUUACUGCUUCUCUGCCGGUAAUUUAGCGAAACUUUAGUAGAAAUCGCUUUGUCGUGGCCUGUUCUUGGGCAGUGACACUGUUAAACUUAUACAAGAACUACACUCGUAGUGGCUUAAUUUGUAGCUAUUCCGGACAGCGGUUCGACUCCGCUCACCUCCACCA
rnacentral:tmRNA from 1 species